CCUACGGGAGGCUGCAGUGGGGAAUAUUGCACAAUGGGGGAAACCCUGAUGCAGCGACGCCGCGUGAGCGAUGAAGUAUUUCGGUAUGUAAAACUCUAUCAGCAUGGAAGAAGAUGACUGUACCUGACUAAGAAGCCCCGGCUAACUACGUGCCAGCAGCCGCGGUAAUACGUAGGGGGCAAGCGUUAUCCGGAUUUACUGGGUGUAAGGGGAGCGUAGACGGCGUUGCAAGCCAGAUGUGAAAGCCCGGGGCUCAACCCUGGAAUUGCAUUUGGAACUGGGUGGCUGGAGUGUCGGAGAGGCAGGCGGAAUUCCUAGUGUAGCGGUGAAAUGCGUAGAUAUUAGGAGGAACACCAGUGGCGAAGGCGGCCUGCUGGACGAUGACUGACGUUGAGGCUCGAAAGCGUGGGGAGCAAACAGGAUUAGAUACCCGUGUAGUC
rnacentral:rRNA from 1 species